rnacentral:rRNA from 1 species
AUUGAACGCUGGCGGCAGGCCUAACACAUGCAAGUCGAACGAGUGGCGGACGGGUGAGUAAUGUCUGGGAAACUGCCUGAUGGAGCGGGAUAACUACUGGAAACGGUAGCUACUACCGCAUACCAUCGGAUGUGCCCAGAUGGGAUUAGCUAGUAGGUGGGGUAAAGGCUCACCUAGGCGACGAUCACUAGCUGGUCUGAGAGUAUGACCAGCCACACAGGAACUUAGACAAGGUCCAUACUGUGACGGGAGGCAGCGGUGGGGAAUAUUGCACAAUGGGCGGAGGCCUGAUGCAGCCAUGGCGCGUGUAUGAAGAAGGCCUUCGGGUUGUAAAGGACUUUCAGCGGGGAGGCGUUACCCGCAGAAGAAGCACCGGCUAACUCCGUGCCAGCAGGCGCGGUAAUAC